CGGAAUGCACCCUUCUUAAUAUAGAGCUUUAUUUUCUCUUAUGUGUUCUGUGUUCUGUGGUGCACAGCUGAUAGGAAUAAGUGUAAACCGAGUGAAUCUAUAAUGUCAAAAGCAUUUUUAAUGAAAAUAUCUUAUAACUUAUGUAUUUUUUUACAUGGAUUGAUUGCGAGAAGACAAUUUAUGAUUUGGAAUAAAUGAGACUGACUUUAUCCAAUGAAAUAAACUAGCAAGAAAAUGAGUAAUUUUAACAUUAAAAUAGGUUUAUAUAAUUUUAUGUACAAAAAUAUUUUUGCUUGAUAGUACAUCACCAGAUUUUAAAGAAGAAUAAAAUA
rnacentral:misc_RNA from 1 species